ACUGGACAUUCCUUAGAGAGCCAUAAACGAUUCGUAUCUUUCUGAAUUACCGGCAACACAUUUUUCAAGUGAGCAGCAUCAUGAUACAGUUUCAAAUUGGGUUUCUGUGAGCGCUCUUGCUCCAUAUAUUCCCUGGUAAGUGAUGUCGUCUUUUUUGAAAGUUGAAGGAUUGACCACGGAUCUUGUAAUUCACCAAGCUCAUCUGCAGUGUCAUGGGCUGCUGCUGAGUCAAACUACUUCCAGCAAUUCUGCUGUAUUUCCUGCCUAUGGAUGCUAGGUGGAGCCCAGUACCCACUUGAUGGACUGUCAUCCAGGAGAAAUUUAUUUCAGGUGUGGGGGCUGGGGAGAAAAAUGUUGCUGCCAACAUUCCAGUGAAGGUGACUGAAAGGAAACCAAGGAGACAGAGAGAGCAAGAGGCGGCAGCAGCAGCAGCAGCAGCAGCAGCAGCAGCAAGUAACCCAGAUGAGAACAGUGAGAAAGAUGAACAGAGGGAAACAAAAAUAAUAAUUUUUAAUAAUAUGUUUUUAACCCUUUUUUAAAAAGAUGUUUUUAAACCUUUUUUAAAAAACAUGUUUUUAACGUUGUUUUGUUUUAAUGUAUUUUAAGGUCUGUUUUUAUGAUGUUUUAAAGUGUUUUUAGCGUUUCUGUUUGCCACCCUGGGCUUCUGCUGGGAGGAAGGGUGGGAUAUAAAUCAAAUAAUCAAUCAAUCAGUCAAUAAAAGAGGGAUGUAAAGGAGGGAAAGAGAGCGACCUUGGAAGUAAAAAACUAAAAUGGAGAGCAACAGACACAGAAAGGAAAAUGUGAGCAACACUUAAAAUUAUAAUGGGUAUAAAUGAAGGGAAGAUGUAGAAAAAUUUUAUGCAGGGAGAACUGCUUAAAGAAAAAAGGAAAGGGAUCAGGGAUGGAAAAGAGAAACGAGCAGACAAUUUUAACUUUAAAGUGUUUUACUAAGCAUUUAUAUACAUGCAAUAUAUUGGCUACAAAAAAGCUAGAAUUAUUUUACUGCAUUGAAAUAUGGAAGCUACUACAGACUAAGAUUCUGCGUAAUUUAAAAGAAAAUUAUUUUUAUCGCUGAAUAAAUUUUGUGGCCAAUUCUAAGAGAGGUUCAGGGUAUUUCAAAGACAGUUACAGUGACAAGUAGCAGAAGAUAAAUUAUUAAGGACCUCAUGACAUCUUAGUUUUCACUCCAAGGGAAAAUUUCCAUGAUUACUGUCACACAGUAUAAGCAAAUGAAGUCCCCCUGCCCACAAACUAUAUUUUCAUCCAUUGGCUGAGCAGGGAUGGGCCAAAGAAAUAGUGUGCCAUGACUUCUAGAGCAGAAUUUAUUUCCUCUGAUCAGAUGAAAAUGGAAGUAUCUUACAUUCAGUUGGACCCAAUGUUGCUCUGAUAGGAAUGAUCUUAAACAGAGACAUAAUUCAUGCUGGUGCAUAUGAAUAUUGCAAUGUAUUAAACCCCUCACAUUCUAAAGUAAAAUGGUGUGAAAAAUUGAGACACACCUGAGCUUCAACCCAAGGGUCAGCUACAAAUUACAAUCUUAGGUAUCACCUUGAAAAAAUGUAGAAAUGAAAAUACAGAAAAUAGUUUAUUUGUGGAAAUUUACCCAAUAAGAUAAUAGAAGAUAGUUGAUACCUAGCACAGAAAUGUUCUGCAUGGCAGGAAUACCUGGCACUGGAUUUUGCUUUGUAAAAACAGAGUUCAUGCGUUUGGGAUAGUUUGCUGAGAUAGUAAAGCAUUGAGAUGGUACAAUGCUGAAUUUGGUUAUUAGGUUCAUGGACAUAUAAACUUUAGCACUUUUUAAAGCUUUCUGACUGAGCUGUGUUUUGAACUUUCAUGUAAAUAAGGAACU